GCCGGGGUCGCCUAGCCUGGGAGGGCGCAAGCCUGGAAAGCUUGUGACCUAUAUGGGUCUCGAGGGUUCAAAUCCCUCUCCCGGCG
rnacentral:tRNA from 1 species